rnacentral:misc_RNA from 1 species
CUCGAGGACGCCGACGCCGGCGCCUGCGACUGCUGCGGGUGGUGCACCGGCAGCCUCCACUGCGUGAAGCUCUGCGACGCGGACGAGGACGACGAGGAGGAGGACGACGACGGCCCGACGUUCCGCUGCGCCCGCUGGUGGUGCGGCUGCCGCUGCGGAGGCGGUGGCGUGGACGACGCCGCCGCCGCAGCCUCCACCGUCACCGGCAACGCGGUCGACGCCUCGGCGCAGGGCGUGCCCGAGCCGCCGCCACCGCUCCCCGACACCACAUUGUUGUUGGGCGUCGCCGUCGGGCUCAGCGCAGGGUGCGUGCAGGUGCUGAAGAUGCCGCAGGAGAAGAGCGCACGCGGCGACGCCUUGAGCCUCGCCGCGCCUCCGCCCCCGGCCCCGGCUCCUCCUGUCUGCGCCGCGCGACUCAUCUCAAGGUCGCCGCCACGCUGAGCUGAUCCACCGACCCCGAGUGAAUUGAAUGCUCUGUGCCGCGGCUCUGAUUGCCCGCGCGCGCAGCCGAGCGGAUCCGCAUGCGCAGU